rnacentral:rRNA from 1 species
GUAUGGAGCAAGCGUUAUCCGGAUUUACUGGGUGUAAAGGGAGCGCAGGCGGUCCGGCAAGUCUGAUGUGAAAGGCGGGGGCUCAACCCCCGGACUGCAUUGGAAACUGUCGGGCUGGAGUGUCGGAGGGGCAGGCGGAAUUCCUAGUGUAGCGGUGAAAUGCGUAGAUAUUAGGAGGAACACCGGUGGCGAAGGCGGCCUGCUGGACGACAACUGACGCUGAGGCUCGAAAGCGUGGGGAGCAAA